UACAGAGGUCUCAAGCGUUGUUCGGAUUCAUUGGGCGUAAAGGGUGCGUAGGCGGUCGCGUAAGUCGGAUGUGAAAUCCCGGGGCUCAACCCCGGAACUGCAUUCGAUACUGCGUGGCUAGGGUACUGGAGAGGAGACUGGAAUUUACGGUGUAGCAGUGAAAUGCGUAGAUAUCGUAAGGAAGACCAGUGGCGAAGGCGAGUCUCUGGACAGUUACCGACGCUGAGGCACGAAGGCCAGGGGAGCAAACGGG
rnacentral:rRNA from 1 species